AACAGGACCAACAUUGGAAACCUUACCUCCAACUAAAAGAUUGAUUAGAAAGUUGGUCCACAACUUUGAUCUCUUUACACACUUAUAUUCUUUAACUUUUUGUUUGGGUUUGUUUCUUAACCUGGUCCGGCACACAGGUUUGUUAAAGAGAAACUCCAACUCCAAUGAAACAGUCAAGUCAUUGUGAUGAAAUUUCCCACUAGUUUCCUGCUUGGUCAAUAUCAGUUUACUAGUAAGCCUUUCCUUGACUCUUUGAAAAUAUUUUUAAACAGGUACCAAAUUCUAUAAUAGAGCUCAUGAUAUAAUGAUAUUGUCAAGUGGAUAAGAGGAAGGCUCCAGAUCCACAAGCUACCAAAUUCUGGACAUUCUUAUGUUAUAGUUGCAUCUCUCUUUCUAUGGGUAGAAUAAGGUUUGGUGGACAAGAUGAAUUUGUGUUUGAAAAUGAAGAGGAAAGCAAGAUAGGAGACAUCUUUUAUGAAGAAUGGAAGACUAUUAUUAGUGGAGCUAAUUGCCUUUUGCAAUGGGAAAAGCAAUCCUAUCCGUGUCUUCUCUGCUGAGGAGCUCAAAAGAGCAACAAACAACUAUGACCAUCGUCAAUGUGUUUUGCAGGGUAGAGAUUUUAAGUUAUUCAAGGGUUCUCUAGAAGACCACUUACUUUCUGCUAAAAAGUACCACACGGAAGAAAAAGUAUUUUCUGUUAUGGAAGAAGUUACACUUGGCAUUGUUAAAGACAUUGUGGAGGGAUCGCAAAUGAGUGUCCACCAAAAUGUUCUAAUACUCUUAAGAGGUUGCUUAGAGACCAAAUAUCCAACUCCAGUGUAUGAAUUUGUCAGGGAUAAAAUUCUCUCCAAUUAUAUCGACCCAAUUGGGACAAUCCACUUUGAGCCCUUAUCAUGGAAAUGCAGAGCAUAGUUAAUGCCCCUACAUAUGUUCAUACUUCAUUUUCCAAGUCUGUUAUCCAUAAAGAAAUUAGGUCAGCCAUCAUUAUAUUAGAUGAGAACAAUGUUGCCAAACUGAUUUGACUCUCGCUCUUAUCUAUUCCUAAAGGUGAACUGCAUGUAUUCAAGGCCGUAUGUGAGAGAAUGGGGUGUGGUGCACCUGAAUAUACUGCUAACAGGCUAUAUAACUGAGAAGGUUGAUGUGUAUAUUUAUGGUGUUCUCCUUCUUGGGCUUUUGGCUGGAUGGAUGUUGAAUACUCAGUACAGAUUGCCUUGAGUUGCAUCUCUGAUACAGCAGAAGAUAGGCCUACAAUUAUUGAUGCAGGAAAACAACUCAGUGAAUCUUGAGUCUGUCUCACCUCCUUAGUUUAUCUUAGCUCUAUCCUAGUUGAUAAACAUUCAGGAUAUUCUAUGCUCGAUAUAGCAUUUGAAUGCACAAACUUGUCACCAAGACUGGAGUCACUGAAUAAAAUGGCAAUCAUGUUUAUGAUAAAACCAUGUUUUGAUUUCCAUUGGGUAGCUAGAGUGGACUGUAAUAAGACUUCUUAUUUUUAUUUUUGGAUGGCUUGGGUUGAACAAACUUCCUAUCAUUGCAUGUAGUAUUUUCUGGUUAACAGGAAAGUAUCUCUUAUGACAGGUAUCUCAAAUCAGCCAUGUACGAGUAGU